rnacentral:misc_RNA from 1 species
AUGAAGUUUUGAAGUGGGCUUGAAGCUGGUGUCUUUACGGAUGCAUGUGCUCAGUCCCUUGUCCCUUUUUUCAAACCUAUGUGCACUUUCAAAGUCUGUGGUCCUCCGUAAUGGGAGCCGUGAGCCACUUGUGGUUUGCUGGGACUACAGCUUUGCCAUAUCAUUACAAACUAUGUGUAUUGUCUUGUAGAAUGUGAAAUCUUUGGGAUGAAAUUGAAUA